AGAACGGAGGUUGAGAAGCUAAUUAAAUGAAGGUGCGAAGGGAAGGAGGGAAGUGAAUCUGUUUACCUCGAGAAAGGACCCUAGAGAGUCCCAAACCCGCUAUUCGAGAUUGGCGCGAUCAAUCCUCUGGAUGACUUCGGGCAGGAUGCAGCCGUCGAUCAGUCGCUUUAUCAGGUCCCUGUCAUUAAAGGGAUUCUCCCCCGGGUCUCCUUCGGAACCAAGGGACUCUUCAAUGGCGGCUCGGCGGCUACUCACCCUGUGGGCCACCGACUUCCUUCUCCUCCCCCUCUCAACCCCUGGCACCUCCUCGAAGCGGACCCC
rnacentral:lncRNA from 1 species